rnacentral:rRNA from 1 species
GAGCGGGGGAUUACAUUUGGAAACAGAUGCUAAUACCGCAUAACAACAAAAGCCACAUGGCUUUUGUUUGAAAGAUGGCUUUGGCUAUCACUCUGGGAUGGACCUGCGGUGCAUUAGCUAGUUGGUAAGGUAACGGCUUACCAAGGCGAUGAUGCAUAGCCGAGUUGAGAGACUGAUCGGCCACAAUGGAACUGAGACACGGUCCAUACUCCUACGGGAGGCAGCAGUAGGGAAUCUUCCACAAUGGGCGCAAGCCUGAUGGAGCAACACCGCGUGAGUGAAGAAGGGUUUCGGCUCGUAAAGCUCUGUUGUUGGAGAAGAACGUGCGUGAGAGUAACUGUUCACGCAGUGACGGUAUCCAACCAGAAAGUCACGGCUAACUACGUGCCAGCAGCCGCGGUAAUACGUAGGUGGCAAGCGUUAUCCGGAUUUAUUGGGCGUAAAGCGAGCGCAGGCGGUUGCUUAGGUCUGAUGUGAAAGCCUUCGGCUUAACCGAAGAAGUGCAUCGGAAACCGGGCGACUUGAGUGCAGAAGAGGACAGUGGAACUCCAUGUGUAGCGGUGGAAUGCGUAGAUAUAUGGAAGAACACCAGUGGCGAAGGCGGCUGUCUGGUCUGCAACUGACGCUGAGGCUCGAAAGCAUGGGUAGCGAACAGGAUUAGAUACCCUGGUAGUCCAUGCCGUAAACGAUGAGUGCUAGGUGUUGGAGGGUUUCCGCCCUUCAGUGCCGGAGCUAACGCAUUAAGCACUCCGCCUGGGGAGUACGACCGCAAGGUUGAAACUCAAAGGAAUUGACGGGGGCCCGCACAAGCGGUGGAGCAUGUGGUUUAAUUCGAAGCUACGCGAAGAACCUUACCAGGUCUUGACAUCUUGCGCUAACCUUAGAGAUAAGGCGUUCCCUUCGGGGACGCAAUGACAGGUGGUGCAUGGUCGUCGUCAGCUCGUGUCGUGAGAUGUUGGGUUAAGUCCCGCAACGAGCGCAACCCUUGUUACUAGUUGCCAGCAUUAAGUUGGGCACUCUAGUGAGACUGCCGGUGACAAACCGGAGGAAGGUGGGGACGACGUCAGAUCAUCAUGCCCCUUAUGACCUGGGCUACACACGUGCUACAAUGGACGGUACAACGAGUCGCAAGCUCGCGAGAGUAAGCUAAUCUCUUAAAGCCGUUCUCAGUUCGGACUGUAGGCUGCAACUCGCCUACACGAAGUCGGAAUCGCUAGUAAUCGCGGAUCAGCAUGCCGCGGUGAAUACGUUCCCGGGCCUUGUACACACCGCCCGUCA